AUGCCAUAGGGAGUAUCCCGGUAGCUCGGGAAGCAUCGUUCGCCAAUAUUAAUUAAAGGCCUCUAACGCUGCAGGAAAAUUUUAGUAGAAGAUUUAGAACUAUGUAUGUAUUUAGUUUUAGCGUUUGUUCCCGCUUUGAGGGCGUGAAAUGCCGUGUCAUUGUCCCUAAUAAGUCAUUGUCCCGGCAUUUCGGCCGAUGUCCCCAAGCAACUGCUUUGCGUCCAUGUCACUAGAUUGGUGCAAUAGGUUGACAAGGUCGUCCAUAUGGCACCUUUCCUUGGACAAGGCAUCCUCCAAUUGGCACGCGGUAAAUUGACUUAGAUUGUUUGCCCUGGCAAACUUAUGUACUCCAAACUCAUCCACUGGACGAUGCUGGCUGUAUUUCUUGCGUGGGCGAUCUUGUCGCCGACGGGCGAUGUUGUCCAGGGCGUUCCGGUCAAACUCGUAGGCGCCGACCUCAUUACCGUUGUCCAUGGACAUUGUGUUGGAAGGAUACGUUAAGGUUCAGAUAAAAUGAAGAAAUCAAGAAGCGCUACUUCAUAGUAUGGAGAUGGUAGAA
rnacentral:lncRNA from 1 species